UAUUAGAGACAUAUCACCCUGCAGCUCUCGCCUAGUUUGCCACUGAAGCUAAGCAGAGUUGAGCCUGACCAGAACCUGGAUCGGAGACCUCCUGGGGAAAACUAAGGUUGGUGC
rnacentral:rRNA from 1 species